UGGGGAAUCUUCCGCAAUGGGCGCAAGCCUGACGGAGCGAUGUCGCGUGAGGGAUGAAGGCCUUCGGGUUGUAAACCUCUUUUGUUAGGGAGUAAGGAAAUUCGGUUAAUAACCGAAUGAUUGAUAGUACCUAAAGAAUAAGUACCGGCUAACCCCGUGCCAGCAGCUGCGGUAAUACGGGGGGUACAAGCGUUGAUCGGAUUGACUGGGCGUAAAGGGAGCGUAGGCGGUUUGAAAAGUCAGAUGCGAAAUCCUGGGGCUUAACCCCAGAACUGUAUUUGAAACUUUCAGACUAGAGGGUGGUUGGGGAAAACGGAAUUCUGCAUGUAGCGGUGAAAUGCGUAGAUAUGCAGAGGAACACCGGUGGCGAAGGCGGUUUUCUGUGCCAUACCUGACGCUGAGGCUCGAAAGCAUGGGGAGCAAACAGG
rnacentral:rRNA from 1 species